CCUACGGGAGGCAGCAGUGGGGAAUAUUGGGCAAUGGAGGCAACUCUGACCCAGCAACGCCGCGUGAAUGAUGAAGGUCUUCGGAUUGUAAAGUUCUGUUAUGAGGGAUGAACCCAAUGACGGUACCUCAAUAGUAAGCCACGGCUAACUACGUGCCAGCAGCCGCGGUAAUACGUAGGUGGCAAGCGUUAUCCGGAUUGACUGGGCGUACAGGGUGAGUAGGUGGGUAAGUAAGUCGGAGGUGAAAUUCCGGGGCUCAACCCCGGGGCUACCUUCGAAACUAUUGGACUAGAGUGCAGGAGGGGUAAGUGGAAGUCCGAGUGUAGCGGUGGAAUGCGUAGAUAUUAGGAGGAACAGCAGGGGCGAAGGCGACUUACUGGACAGUAACUGACGCUGAGGCACGAAAGCGUGGGGAGCAAACAGGAUUAGAUACCCCAGUAGUC
rnacentral:rRNA from 1 species